rnacentral:rRNA from 1 species
ACGGGUGAGUAACACGUAGGUAACCUGCCUGUAAGACUGGGAUAACCCACGGAAACGUGAGCUAAUACCGGAUAGGCGAGACUCCCGCAUGGGAGAUUCGAGAAAGGCGGAGUAAUCUGCCACUUACAGAUGGACCUGCGGCGCAUUAGCUAGUUGGUAGGGUAACGGCCUACCAAGGCGACGAUGCGUAGCCGACCUGAGAGGGUGAUCGGCCACACUGGGACUGAGACACGGCCCAGACUCCUACGGGAGGCAGCAGUAGGGAAUCUUCCGCAAUGGGCGAAAGCCUGACGGAGCAACGCCGCGUGAGUGAUGAAGGCCUCCGGGUCGUAAAGCUCUGUUGCCAAGGAAGAACAGCCAAGAGAGUAACUGCUCUUGGAAUGACGGUACUUGAGAAGAAAGCCCCGGCUAACUACGUGCCAGCAGCCGCGGUAAUACGUAGGGGGCAAGCGUUGUCCGGAAUUAUUGGGCGUAAAGCGCGCGCAGGCGGUAAUGUAAGUUGGGUGUUUAAACCUAGGGCUCAACCUUGGGUCGCACCCAAAACUGCAUCACUUGAGUGCAGCAGAGGAAAGUGGAAUU